rnacentral:rRNA from 1 species
UGCCUCAGUAACGGCGAGUGAAGCGGCAACAGCUCAAAUUUGAAAUCUGGCUCUUUUAGGGUCCGAGUUGUAAUUUGUAGAAGAUGCUUCGAGUGUAGCUCCGGUCUAAGUUCCUUGGAACAGGACGUCAUAGAGGGUGAGAAUCCCGUAUGUGACUGGCUGCUUUCGCUCAUGUGAAGCUCUUUCGACGAGUCGAGUUGUUUGGGAAUGCAGCUCAAAAUGGGUGGUAAAUUUCAUCUAAAGCUAAAUAUUGGCCAGAGACCGAUAGCGCACAAGUAGAGUGAUCGAAAGAUGAAAAGCACUUUGGAAAGAGAGUUAAACAGUACGUGAAAUUGUUGAAAGGGAAGCGCUUGCAACCAGACUUGCACUUGGUCGAUCAUCCGAGGUUCUCCCCGGUGCACUCGAUCUCGUUCAGGCCAGCAUCGGUUUAGGUGGUGGGAUAAAGGCCUUGGGAAUGUAGCUUCUUUCGGGGAGUGUUAUAGCCCUCGGUGCAAUGCCGCCUACCUGGACCGAGGACCGCGCUUCGGCUAGGAUGCUGGCGUAAUGGUUGUAAGCGACCCGUCUUGAAACACGGACCAAGGAGUCUAACAUCUAUGCGAGUGUUUGGGUGUCAAACCCAUACGCGUAAUGAAAGUGAACGGAGGUGAGAACCCUUAAGGGUGCAUCAUCG